UAUAUCAGCCAAAAAAGCCAUCAUAGCGGGAAAAUAAUAACGGUGACCUACUUUUAUUAUUGCAGAAAGUACGUUAUUAUUACUUUCCGAAAACCGCUAGUGUUGUUUUCACAAAAACUACAUUGGCGAUUUUCAAAAAACUUGAAUGUCAUAAUAGUUUUCUGCAAUAAAAAGUCACCGUUCUUAUUGUUUCGCUAUGAUCAUGGCGCUUUUUUGGCUGAUACA